rnacentral:rRNA from 1 species
GUAUGUAGUAUAAUACCGUUUAAAGAGAUAAUUAGGUGUGAUAGGCUUCCCAAAAGCUAAGAUAUCUUGAUAGCGCUGAAACGUAUUUAGUACGAAAAACAAAUAUAGAGUGUUUAGGCUCUAUAUGUACCUAAAAGUAGAUUAAGGUAUUCAAGGUAUAAUCACCUUACAUCCAUAAACAAUAUCAUAAAUGUUUAUCUGUUAUAGGGCGAUUAGGAGCUUCUAGUAAAGUUAUAACCUAAAGUAAUAAUGUUCCCAUGAGUAUUAAAAGUAGGCGCCAGGAAUGAACUCGGCAAAGAAUGUCCUCAACUGUUUACCAAAAACAUAGCUGUAUGGGUCUAUAUAUAGUUAUUUCUGCUCAAUGUAUUAUAAAUAGCCGCAGUACCUUGACUGUGCAAAGGUAGCAUAAUCAAUUGGCUUAUAAUUGAAGUCUGGAAUGAAGGAAAAAAUGGGGGCAGACUAUAUAAUUGGCGUGGCAACAAAUUACUUAAUAAGUGAAAAGUCUUAUAUUUAAAUAAUAGACGAGAAGACCCUAGAAAUUUUAAAGGACGGUUUUCCCUUUGGUUUUUGUUGGGGCGACACAGUAGCAUUUUAAACCUACUAAGCAUUAUUAGGAAAGUUUUAUUAAGGGUAAUUAAAUUACUCUAGGGAUAACAGCAUGAUAUUUAAAAGUUUGUGACCUCGAUGUUGGACUAGGAAAUUAUAUACCCAGAAGGUUAUUAAUUUGGCUCUGUUCGAGCUCGUUUCUCCUACAUGAUCUGAGUUCAGACCGGCGUAAGCCAGGUCAGUUUCU